CCCUUUCGGCUGCGGCGCGUGACUGGGUAAGUGGGCUACGACCUUCUGGACGCUGGAGCCGGCCACGUGGCUCCGGGGCUAUCCCGUGCCCUUCCUAUGCGCCUGUCGCUGCCUCCGUGCCCGCCGCGGCCUCCGCUCGGCGCCGCGGGGAAGCCUCCCUUAGGGCCCCUCGGGGGUGGGGGCGUCCUCGUGGCGCUUGGGCCCUUCGUCCCGGGUUAGGACAGCCCGUGUCCUUGUGCGCUUGAAGGGGCCGCCCCCUUUCCUCGAGGAUCCCACCCCCACUCAGCAGGCGCCCGUCACCUCCCCUGCCUGAGUCCCUGCCGUCCAUGGAUCCGGCCUACAGGCAGCUUUUAGUCCUUUUUCAAUUAAAUGAUUGCAUUUUGAGGAUCAAAUUCCAACCGCAGACGGAGGCGCCAAGCCCCGGACGGUCUCUGGGUUCUUGGCGCACUCGGGGCUCCCGCCUGCCCAGUGGCUGUGACCGCGCGGACGUAAGCCUAUUUAGGAAGCGAGUGAGAUCUGAUGUCUGAAGCGCUUUAAGUUUCCAAGCGGGGCAGUAUAAUAGCGGGGUUAGCAAACACACGCGUAGCCAAACCCCCCUCCCCCCUCCACCGCCAGCAGUGCCGUUCAGUUGCUACCGGCCCGCAGUCGGAUAAUUUAAAGGCUUGGAGGGACGAGUCUUGCUGGAGCCGACGCCUGCAGUGAGUUGAGCAGAGUGCUGUGAGUCCUAAUGCUUUCCUCCCCAAGAUCCGCUUUUUCAGGAGUGGCCAGAGCGUUAUUACAGAACAGGGCCCGCUUCCGGCGUUUAAUCAGGGUGUGAGGAGUCCCUUCUUGGUUUUCUGUCCUGGGAAAAGUCUGAACUACUGCGUUCUGACUCGGACCAGGACAAGGUGUUGAACGUCUAACUUAUGUCUACUAAGGCGUAGAAAUACGCAAGGCUGCCCCUAGAGAACGUUUGUCUGGGGAAUAAUACAAGUUUUUGGAGCGGCUCUCUUGAGCAUCGGGGAGCAUACUAAUUGUUCAUUACUGGUACAAAUUGCCAUAUAAAGGGAUACUUUGCGAAUUUAGUCAAAUUGAUAAAGAUCUAAAUUUACAUUUGAGUCAACAAAUGAAAGAAUCUUUAUGGCUAGCAUAGGUACCACAGUUCUGUUGAAAUGUGAAUCUCAUGGUUCACGUGUUUUCCUCAGCUGCCUUUUUGAGGAAACCAAAUGGGACCCAUUUUACCAUGCUUUAAUGAGGAAAGCUUGUACGUUUGCAGCCUAGGUGCUAGGCACCUUUUUUUCCAGCGUUAUAGAUAGGCCCAGAGCAUGGACAAUUUUCCCUCCCUGGAAUACCUCCAGCUCUGGCGAAUAGUCCUACAUGUAGCACGGGAAGAUAGCAGUGGUAAAGGCUUUCUUUUACCAUUGCUUUAGGUGUUGGAGAUUCUUAUUGAGCCCAUUCUAUUUUUAUUUUAUUUAUUUUUUUGAGUUGGAGUCUCGCUCUGUCACCCAGGCUGGAGUGCAAUGGCGUAAUCUCAGCUCACUGCAACCUCUGCCUCCCCGGUUCAAGGAAUUCUCCUGCCUCAGCCUCCUGAGUAACUGGGAUUACAGGUGCCCGCCACCAUGCCCAACUUUUGUAUUUUUUAGUAGAGACAGGGUUUCACCAUGUUGGCCAGGCUGGUCUUGAACUCUUGAGCUAGUGAUCCACCCGCCUCGGCCUCCCAAAGUGCUGGGAUUACAGGCGUGAGUCAGCACACCCGGCCUGCCAAAUUGUUUUUUAACUAUUCAGUUUAAACUGUGAGAGACACCAUGUCAAGGAAGCAGCAUGAGCUGGCGUCUAAGGAUUAUGAAAACUGAGCAAGUGCCCAGGACUAGAAACUUCCCAGCCCCCUGAACUCAGCCUCAGGGUAAGCGAGUUUAGUAGUGCUUCCUUUGAUUUUCAAAUCUGUGGAAGGUUUGUUUCAGUUUUUCCCAGACAAAUAUUGUUGGGAUAGUGUUUCUUUUCAAAAAUGGAUAGGAUUCAAUGCUAAUCAAUGGGAAGACAGUGACUCCUGACCAUUUUCCUCCUAGCUGGAAACUACAGAAGACUCCCAAGUAUCAGGAAAUUUGGAGAAUUUGUGCAGGAAUUAUAUUCAGAGAUAGCAAUUUAUUUACUCAUCAAAGAGAGCUAUUGGAUAGCCACCAUAAAGACCACUCAUUAAAAAACAAAAUUGCAUGAUAUUCUUAACAUUGUCUUUCACUUUUUUUAACCAGGCUUGGUGGAGUUUCAAGAUGCUGAUGAACUUAAGGUCUGGCGCUUGAAAGAAUCAGUGAAGCUUUUCAAGUAGAGGAGGUAUAUUUGAAUAUGUAACCUUUAGUAUCAACAGAAUAGAGGUUGCUUUUUUUUUUGUCCCUUCCAUAGUGGUAGCAAGGUUGAGUUUCGAGAUGGCCCCAGUCAUCUGUAGGAAUAUUAUUUGACAGUUUUGGAGACACAAAACUGCCUUAUAGCUGACUUGAUCCUGUAGAACAUUUCUGUGGAAUUCAAUUCUAUUAUUUAAAGUAGUUUUUCUAUGAACCAGCUGUGGUCUGUAACUUGACAGUGUUAAUAAAACAAAUAGCAAUACCUUAGUCAUGCUUAAUCACGGUUCACAUGCUCAGCAAAGAUAUGACUUAAUCUAAGAUUGUUAUUUUACAGUAUAGUCUUUUUUUUUUUUUUUUUUUUUUUUUAAAAAAGACAGUUUUACUCUUGUUGCCCAGGCUGGAGUGCAGUGGUGCAAUUUUGGCUCACUGCACCCUCCGCUUCCCAGAUUCAAGCGAUUCUCCUGCCUCAGCCUCCUGAGUAGCUGAGAUUACAGGCACAUGCCACCACACCCAGCUAAUUUUGUAUUUUUAGUAGGGAUGGGGUUUCUCCAUGUUGGUCAGGCUGGUCUAGAACUCCUGACCUCAGGUGAUCAGCCUGCCUCAGCCUCCCAAAGUGCUCGGAUUACAGCCAUCAGUCACUGUACCUGGCAGUAUAUUCUUAAAUAUUACUGUUGAGCCAUAUAUAUGACAAUGGUGGACUUUGAAUGUCCACACAUCUGUAGUAAAAUGCAAUGCUACCUUCAUUUUUUGUUGGUAUGCUAAAGAAAUUUUAAGUAUCUCACUUUUAAAAAAAUUGGUUUGUGUAUUUUAUGUGCUUACACAUUUUUCCAUAGUACUGUAGAUCAUUUUAGUGAUGAAAUUUGAUACUUUUGACAGAAAAACAGGUCUGUGAGUUCCUUGAUCAAAAAGGGGUUGAUUACAAAAGGGCAGGAAGGAAAGAGUGAUUCUACAGUUCUGCAUCUUGAUUAUGGUAUGACUAUGCAUUUGCCAAACCUUCACAGGAUGAAUUUUACUGAAUGUAAAAUCAUACUUAAAUAAACAUGACUUUAAAAACUUAA